AUGGGGACCAAAACUCUUAUUCUGAUCACCGUGGCCAUGACCAUGCUUGGGACGGCGCUUGGUGCCAGCCACACCGUGGGCGAGCCGGACGGGUCGUGGGACCUUCAAACCAACUACUCCUAGUGGGUUUCGAGAAUGAGGUUCACCACCGGCGAUGAGCUCAAGUUCCAGUACUCCACCGCCGUGCGCAACGUGGUGGAGGUGAGCAAGACGGGGUAUGACUCUUGCAACUGCUCCAGCCCCAUAGCGACUUUCCCGACCGGUAACGAUGUUGUUCCGCUUGCCAUCGCUGGGACCCGAUAUUUCAUCUGCGGUGUCUCUGGGCACUGCGAUGCCGGCAUGAAGGUCAAGGUCAACGUCAAGCCGCCCUCCCCCGCGCCGGCCAUCCUCCCCCGCGCCGGCCCUCUUCCAUCGAGAGGUACUCCUCCCUCCUUUCUCCUCCUCCUCCCUCCCUAG
rnacentral:rRNA from 1 species